rnacentral:rRNA from 1 species
UACGAAGGGGGCUAGCGUUGCUCGGAAUUACUGGGCGUAAAGGGCGCGUAGGCGGAUGUUUAAGUCAGAGGUGAAAGCCCAGGGCUCAACCUUGGAACUGCCUUUGAUACUGGACAUCUUGAGUAUGGGAGAGGUGAGUGGAACUCCGAGUGUAGAGGUGAAAUUCGUAGAUAUUCGGAAGAACACCAGUGGCGAAGGCGACUCACUGGCCCAUUACUGACGCUGAGGCGCGAAAGCGUGGGGAGCAAACAGG